GGGGUCACUUGCUGCGUGUGCCAGGCUGGGGGCACAGGGAACACCCAGCAGGGCCCGACUGCACUGACCCUGCCCUUGCUUUUCUUACAGGACUGAUGGACAUGCCAGACAUGGAGUGGUUCUUUGUACAUAUGUUUUAGAUAUUGUUUUUCUUUUUCUAUAAAUAUGUUUUAUAGGUAGUAGGCUUUAUUAAGA